CCUACGGGCGGCAGCAGUGGGGAAUAUUGCACAAUGGGCGCAAGCCUGAUGCUGCCAUGCCGCGUGUGUGAAGAAGGCCUUCGGGUUGUAAAGCACUUUCAGCGGGGAGGAAGGCGGUGAGGUUAAUAACCUCAUCGAUUGACGUUACCCGCAGAAGAAGCACCGGCUAACUCCGUGCCAGCAGCCGCGGUAAUACGGAGGGUGCAAGCGUUAAUCGGAAUUACUGGGCGUAAAGCGCACGCAGGCGGUCUGUCAAGUCGGAUGUGAAAUCCCCGGGCUCAACCUGGGAACUGCAUUCGAAACUGGCAGGCUAGAGUCUUGUAGAGGGGGGUAGAAUUCCAGGUGUAGCGGUGAAAUGCGUAGAGAUCUGGAGGAAUACCGGUGGCGAAGGCGGCCCCCUGGACAAAGACUGACGCUCAGGUGCGAAAGCGUGGGGAGCAAACAGGAUUAGAUACCCCGGUAGUC
rnacentral:rRNA from 1 species